AACGCACAUUGCGCCCCUUGGUAUUCCGAGGGGCAUGCCUGUUCGAGCGUCAUUAUCAACCAUCAAGCUCUGCUUGGCAUUGGGUGCCGCCCCUCACGGGACGCUCCUUAAACUUGUAGGCGGUGACCCCGAGUCUCAAGCGUAGUAAAUCUUUAGCUUAGAGGCCUCGGUGGCUGCUCGCCCCUAGAACCCAUCACCUAAAGGUUGACCUCGGAUCAGGUAGGGAUACCCGCUGAACUUAA
rnacentral:misc_RNA from 2 species